CCUACGUGUGGCAGCAGUGAGGAAUAUUGGUCAAUGGGCGCGAGCCUGAACCAGCCAAGUAGCGUGAAGGAUGACUGCCCUACGGGUUGUAAACUUCUUUUAUAAAGGAAUAAAGUGAGGCACGUGUGCCUUUUUGUAUGUACUUUAUGAAUAAGGAUCGGCUAACUCCGUGCCAGCAGCCGCGGUAAUACGGAGGCUCCGAGCGUUAUCCGGAUUUAUUGGGUUUAAAGGGAGCGUAGAUGGGUUGUUAAGUCAGUUGUGAAAGUUUGCGGCUCAACCGUAAAAUUGCAAUUGAUAAUGGCAGUCUUGAGUACAGUUGAGGUAGGCGGAAUUCGUGGUGUAGCGGUGAAAUGCUUAGAUAUCACGAAGAACUCCGAUUGCGAAGGCAGCUUACUAAACUGCCACUGACAUUGAUGCUCGAAAGUGUGGGUAUCAAACAGGAUUAGAUACCCCAGUAGUC
rnacentral:rRNA from 1 species